UGGGAAAGUAUAUAGGUUUUACAGCGAGGGGUUAGAAAUAUUGUUAAAUUGAAGUAUUUUCGAAAAGCUUUGUUUUACUGACCCACUCAAUUUUGUUUUGCGCCCCUCCAGGUUCUAGUUAGCAGCGUUGGUGGCCCACGAGGAUUCCCACAGCAUUCUGACAGACUAGAUAAAUGUACGACUCACUUUCGGGUGUUGUAAUUUAGCAAUGUUCCUACUUGACUGCACCUAGUACUUAUGCUCUGAAUAUGUGUGUUUCACACUUAAACUUACUCUAGCAUGCUAGUUGGAUAUUAUUGCUAGUAGUUGGUUUUAAUUCCUUCGUAUUUCUCUUAUCUAUUGCUUCCGUAUCGCACUUUUGGUUACGUCGCGCUCACGUGACGGCCAGCACGCCUUGAUUCUAGGAUCGGGGGUGUGUCAGUUUGGUAUCAGAGCUUCCGUGAUGGCCGUCACGUGGGCAUGACGUAACCAAAAGUGCGAUGCGGAAAAUAGAGAGAAAUACGAAGAUCGGGGUGUGACACACCCCGUCCCGAAGGAGGGCAUGCUGGCCGUCACGUGAGAGUGACGUAACCAUUUGCACAGUACGGAAGCUUUAAGAUACAAUUUAAAUUGAUACACCCGAAGGUGAGUCCUAAUUUUGUCCAAUCUGUCAGAACACCGUCGAAUUCCUCGUAGUCACCACACCUUUGUGAUUCCUGAACCUGGAGGGGCGCAAAACCAAAAUUGAGUGGGUCAGUAAAACAAUUCUUUUCCAAAUCCAAACAUUUCUCAAAACGUUGUAACCCCUCUCCGUAAAACCUGUAUACUUUCCCAGAAAUGUAAAAUAUAAAUAUACAUAUAUAUUCUCAAAACUUCAUUUUUACUAUCUCAACAUUAUCUCGUUAUCAAUCAUGCCAUGCCAUGUCAUCUCAACAUUUCUCAUAUUAAUUAUGCCAUGCCACAUCAUCUCAACAGUAAUAAGGUAUGAAUGCAUCAACAUAAUCAUAUCAGGUGCAAGAAAGUAAUCAACCGUAGGCCCUCUAAUAGCCCUGUACGGUUGAACCUAGAGCUCAAAAUCUAUCAUUAUCACUCUACCGGAGUCACCUCUGUGACCCGUCCGGCCUUCUGCACACAAGUUACGCUCUAGUGCUUCUCAUAAAUCAUCUGUGCACAUAAUCUAAGGUCACCCACCAGUCGGAAUCUCACUAAACACUCUCGCGACUGGUCUGUCGUACCCACUCCGCGUGGACUGUACGACUAGCAUCUACUUGGAUCCAAGGCGAGCGUGCGAUGCGGUGAAUACUAUAAGCACUAAACCAUGGUGCAGGAUUUGAGCUCAAUAUAUAUCAACAUCAUCAUAACAGUAUUUAAAUAAUCACCUGAUACUCACCUGUGCGUCCACCGCACCAUUUCAUACAUAUGCAUCAUAAAUCAAUUCUUACAUGUGCGUCCACCGCACCAAUUCAUACAUAUGCAUCAUAUAUUAAUUCAUGCAUGGCAUUUCAACUCACAUUUCUAUAUACUUUUCAUAUCAAUUCUAUGCAUGGUAUUUCACUUCCCGUUUUUCCACAUAACUCAUAUGCAUUUCAUUUUAAACAUAUUUUCAUUUCAAUUCAAUUUCUGGGAAACGUCAAGUAUAUAUAUAUAUACGGAAAACAAAACUGCCCACUCACCUGGAGUUCGUCCAACAACUCCCUAGCACCACACAUCAAGGCGUCACGACGAUCGCCGCCUAGAAUAGUAAUCAAAUCCAACCUCAGAAUUCAUAUCGAUAGAAUAUUUAACUUAUAUAAAAUACGUCACUACGUAGUUCGAUCCGGAAGAUCUGCCACUCAGAUUUUAAAUCCAUAACUUCCAGAGGUCCACAAUAUACCUCUAGGACAACAUCCUAAAAUUUCAUUACCAUCCAACGGUUGGAUUUCCGUCAAUUUCCAAAACUAAGUGACGGUUAACAUUUUAUAUUAUGGACUUACAAUUCCAAUUCCGGAAGAUCCGUAACUCGGAUUCCCAAUCCGUAAGUUCCAAUAAUCCUCAAAUAUUACGUAUUAUAACGUAUCAAAGUUUGGUGAUGCUCCAACGGUCGGAUCAUCAAUUCACAUUUUCACCUAAAUGUGAAAACUAUAAAACGUUAUUUGAACACCUAACCAACAAUCUUCAAUAACUUUCUCAUACGGUGUUCAAUUUAGGUAUAUGAAUAUACCACAGUGAUCUACUCGACGUCACGGACGUCGACAUAUUUUUAAAAUAAUUUUAUUUUUAUUUUUUAUUUUUUACUGUAGCACCUUCUUCUUCCUUGGGUCGCCGGACUGGUUUUUCCGGCGGCCGUUUUCUGGGCAGUUUUUCAAAUUGCCAUAACUUUGUCAUUUCUCAACGAAAUCAAGUGAUUCAAAAACUAAAGUUGUAGCCCUUGAAGAUAAAAAGAGAAUGGUACCUUGCACAACACCUAGUUCGCCGUGGUUUGGCCGGAAACUGCCUCGAAAGCCUCGGAGGUCGCCGGAAACUGGGUAUUUUUCAAAUGAGUAUAACUUCUUCAAUACUCAACUAAAUUGAGUGAAACAAAAAGGAAAGUUGUAGUACUUGACGAGACGAAGAGAUUGAUACCUACCUCGACUCCUAACUCGCCGGGGAUUCGCCGGAAAACGCCUCGAAAGCUCCGGCCAAACUUUGAACUUGUCGAUCUCCGUGUUCUUACGUCCAAAAACUUCCAACGAAGCACUCCGAGCUUCCUUGGGACAUCCUAAAGCUCACUAUGAGCUUGGUUUGGCCUAAAACACAACCAAUUCAAAGCUCAUGAACAGUACACAUUCACGGCAACUUUAGAAACUAGGGUUUUUCGAAAUGAAACUUACCUGAAAAUGGUACCUACGUGAUCGUGAAGUCCUCAGGGUUGCAAUGGUGGUCUUAACUUGGACGUUCGUGGAGAUUUGAUUGUGGUUUGUGUGUGAGUCCGUAUGUUAGAGAGUAAGAGAUUGAGAGUGAAAAUCUGAAAUGGAAGAAGAAGAGAGAGAAGGAAAGGUUACGGAAAAUGGGGAGGAAAUUAGGGUAUAGGACCCUACCUAAAGUCCAACACAACAAUAGCUUAGAAAUUUUAGGUAAAACAAACACCAAAAUUACGCACCUUAAUCCCGUUUAAGGGCGUUUUUGUAAUUUCAUGUCCUCGGAAUUAAAAAUUCCGGGACGGGCUGUGACAAUCUCCCCUCCUUAUAGAAUUUCGUCCCCGAAAUUCCAGCAACCAACUAAAUCAUCUACACUCCAACAAUAGCUUCGGGUAAAUCUUUCUCAUCCGAUUCUCUUUCUCCCACAUACUUUUCUACUGAAUGAUUUCCUUCACAAAGCUUUUACUACUUACUCUGUCUUAAUUCUUAGGACCUUCUUUUUCCAAUCCAAAGUCGACAUUAGUUCCUCACCAAUCAGAUCCGGCUUAAUUCUCAAUAGUUGCACCAAAGUCCCAUGUAACGACUCUGCCACUUAGUGACAACGCAUCGAACACAAAAUACAUUAUGUGCCUUAGCCAAUUCUGAAGGCAUCACAAACUUGUAUGCAACUUUAUUGAUUCCUUUAGUGAUAAAAAAAUGGUCUGAUGUGUCUAAAUCUUAUCUUGUCUCUUUUCCAAUUCUCUUCAUUUCUGUUCGUGGUGAAUUUUCCAAAAAUAUCAAACCAUUUACCUUACACACUCGAUUAGUGGCAUAUCCAUCUGUUGAUCUCUUUUGCCAUUCCUGGUUACUUCAGGUUAACUUAAUCACCUGAAUACUUUGAGGAGACUCAUCCAUAGUCUCAGGGUCUACUAAAACUCUUUCUCGAUCGAAUCUUUCUCUACCCAGAAACAUUCCAUUCACAAGUCAUCAAAAACCGACUCACGUGACACAUUUCAUGGUCCUUAUGGCGUUACUUCGGAAACUGCACAACCAACAUACUUAAGGAACUUAGCAGUUCCGUAAUCCAAUUCUCUUUUUCCAUAAAACAAAUAAGUAGUGUUGCACUGUCUGGGAAAGGUUGUUACUCAACACUGGAGUAAAUGCACUAACUUGUUACUUAACAAGUAUAACUUCUUCUCGUUCUUCCAUUCUUAAUUUUUCUUCCGUUGGUUUUCAAUCCACAAAAUGAUACUCUUGGCAAACGUGCCAGAUAUUAAUCUUACUGUAGUCUUCUCACCAAGUGCUUCAGCUAGAACAAGCUUUACGAUCACCAUGAUCGUACAAUCGUGUUCAUUAAGCAAUACAAUUCACUUUCGCUGCCUCAUAUCAAAAUCCUUCCAAGUAAUGGAUAUUGAAGACUUUUUGGAUUCGUAAAAAAAAAUCUUGCAUUCCCACUAAAAUAUAAUGUCUCCAUAACUUCACAGCAAGAAUGGUAAUCGUGACUUCCAAAUCACCAGUAGGGUAAUUCAUCUUAUGAGAUUCCAUUUAUCGUGAAACGUAUGCAAUCACCGUAACAUUUGCAUCAACAUGCCUCCAAUACCAUUCAAGAAACAUCACUAAAAAUUUAUGAUUACCACUAUUCUCUGGGAUUACUAAAAUACGUGCAUGAGUGAGGAAAUACUUCAGUUGUUGAAUCCUUUGCUCACAAUUUCCUUCCCACUCAUACAUAACCUCCUUUCUCAACAGUCUCGUUAAUGACAAAGCAAUGACUAAAAAUUCUUUCACAACCAUCCAAAAUAGCCUGGUAAGCUAAGAAAUUCCAAAUCUCAAUUACGACUCGUGGUUGUUCCAAAUUUUAAUUUCUGUUACCUUUUAAGGAUUCACUUGAAUACCUUAAGAAUAUAUAACAUAUCCCAGAAAUGCUGCUUGAUUCAUCCAACAUUAGUAUUUGCUAAACUUAGCAUACAACCAACGUUCUCUCAAUCUUUGCUUCAUUGACUUAAUACGUUUACAUGCUCCGCUCUGGCUCAGAAUAUGCCAGAAUAUCUUCAAUGAAAAUGAUAUCUAUUUAUCAAGGCAUUAUUGGAAUACUUCAUCCAAUAACUCAUAAAACAGCAUGAGUAUCCACAUAGCAUCACCAAACUUCAUAAAAACUAUAACAAGUCCAGAAAACCAUCUUAUGAUCAACGUCACUUAUAAUAUUCAAUUGGUAGUAACCAGAUCUCAAUUCAAUCUUUGAAUCUUCGCAAUUACUUCUGAGCUGGUUAAAUAAACAUCAGUACAUCACCAUGGAUAACGGUUCUCAAUCGUUACCCGACUCCAUUAUCUAUAAUCAAGGAAUAGUCUUUAAAGUCCAUUUUCUUUCUCACCAACAAACUGGUGCUCCUCAACAGUGUUGUACUAGGUUGAAUAAAACUUUUAUCAACCAAUUCUCUCAACUGAAUUUCCAAUUCCCUUAACUCAUCAUGAACCAAUCUUUAACAUAAAUUUAUACCUGGCAACAAAUCAAUAAUGAACCUCAUAUCUCUGCCUGAAGACAAUCCAGGUAUACUUUCAGAGAAGACAUCAAGAAAAGUCUAACCCUUUCGACAUUAUUCACACUACUCCAAACAACAUCAUUUAGCACCACAUGAGCUAAGUAUUUUUGACAGCCUUUCAAAACAAUCUCUUUGCUUUCACAGCAUAAAUAAUGGCUGAACUCACUUCACUUUGCAUACUUACAAAAGUAAUCUCUGGUCAUCCAGAUCGAUGGAAAGUACUGGUUUCCCUUAACAUUCCGUCUUGUCACAAUUAUAACCAACCAAUCUAAUGGAAAUAAUUUAACCGACACAAUACAUACUCUAUUACUACUAAGCAUUCUGAAUAAGUACAAUACUAACAUAAAAUAAUCUACCGGUUUACUUACUUAACGAAUCCACGAAUGAGUUAUUAAUAUUACGGUCUGCAGCCCGCAAUACUGAUAAAUCAUCGUUGUCUCGAUAAGUAGGCAACCACUCACAAAGAUAUAACAUUACUAUUUUGUCACUCAAUGCAAAAUACAUACACUCGUCUCAACUACAUUUAUUUACUACUCUCUAGGUAAUAACAUACAUAAUAAGAAAUAUAUCAGCCGAAGUCAACUAGAAUGACCAAUACGGCUGAUUCAACUUUUAUCUCAAUAAUACGUCGGCCGGAUCCACUCCGCGUGGUCGGUACGGCCGAGCCUAUAACUCACCAAUUUCUCAUGUGUCAAUAUAAUCCACUUCUCAUAGUCUGUACGACUGAACAUAUAACUCAUCAAAUCUCUUUGUACUCACGGUCAAUCCGACCAAACUACUAAAUUCAUAAACUUGUUGAAUCAACACUAUGAUAUCAUGGAAAAUUGUUGAGUACAACUGAUUCUAGGGACGAUUCACAAUUCUGUGUCCCCUCUGUUCACAUAAACACAUUCAUUAAUUUCACAUUUCCCAAAGUGUUAAUUUUGUACCUGCUGCACAAGGUACAUUUCCUUUACUCGAGACACCUUGUCUCAAAUAUCUGGGAUUACCAGUAUAUCCAUCACUUUUACUCUGACCAGCGACAUUAAAACCUCAGCUGGAAGAAUUAACUCUAGCUUCACUUCUUUCGAAGCUCUGAAUCUUUCUAUAUCCUUGAUAUGACGAAUCAUUAACUUUAUCGUCUUCUUUGGAUUCCCAUUCAUUUCUUAUUCUUCUUUAUUCUCGUUGCUCAUGUUCUCAGAGUCCUCAAGACUCAACAACAUCUCGUAUAUUCCUGGUAAGAAGUACAAUGGAUAGUGGUCACCCAAAAUACCACUUCCCUUUUUGCCACCCAACUUAAAACAACAUAACACCUCCACCAAAUUAACAACAAUAUCUGGAUGGAACGAGGCAAGUCUGAAAACUUUCUAUAAUAUCCCUCGAUCAUCACCUUCCUUGUCUCAUAUUUGUAAACUCUUGUUUACUACCAUCAAUAAAUGCCGGAGGGAUAAACUUUUCCUUAAACAAGUCCUUAAACAAUUCUCAAUCGACUGUUCCUCCGGUGACAACAAAUCAUACUCCUGUUUCCACCAGGAUACAAAUUCAUAACCAAAACCAGGUAGUCGUCUCGACCCUUUGUCAGAAGGAAGAUUCCUUUGACUUGCAUAUUCCGAAACAUCUUUUCCAAUUGGUUAAUCCGUCACUUUGUUCCCUCAGGUUCAUCAUUUCUCUUAAGUGAUUCAAAUUCAACUCAUAACCCGUCUUAAAAUGUCCAUUUUUCUAAUAUACUGAAUCACCACAAGAAUAGUUUCCCCUAACUCGCUAAAUCAGGGAGACUAAGUUCCUCUAACUACGUGGUUUGCUACGAGGCGGUGUAGUUCUGACAGAAUUCACUAGAAACUUCUCAAGAUGUCCAAGAUUGCAACCAUGCUCUGAUACCAACUGACACACCCCGUCCCGAAGGAGGGCAUGCUGGCCGUCACGUGAGAGUGACGUAACCAUUUGCACAGUACGGAAGCUUUAAGAUACAAUUUAAAUUGAUACACCCGAAGGUGAGUCCUAAUUUUGUCCAAUCUGUCAGAACACCGUCGAAUUCCUCGUAGUCACCACACCUUUGUGAUUUCCUGAACCUGGAGGGGCGCAAAACCAAAAUUGAGUGGGUCAGUAAAACAAUUCUUUUCCAAAUCCAAACAUUUCUCAAAACGUUGUAACCCCUCUCCGUAAAACCUGUAUACUUUCCCAGAAAUGUAAAAUAUAAAUAUACAUAUAUAUUCUCAAAACUUCAUUUUUACUAUCUCAACAUUAUCUCGUUAUCAAUCAUGCCAUGCCAUGUCAUCUCAACAUUUCUCAUAUUAAUUAUGCCAUGCCACAUCAUCUCAACAGUAAUAAGGUAUGAAUGCAUCAACAUAAUCAUAUCAGGUGCAAGAAAGUAAUCAACCGUAGGCCCUCUAAUAGCCCUGUACGGUUGAAC
rnacentral:lncRNA from 1 species